GUAGGUGGCAAGCGUUGUCCGGAAUUAUUGGGCGUAAAGCGCGCGCAGGCGGUUCUUUAAGUCUGAUGUGAAAGCCCACGGCUCAACCGUGGAGGGUCAUUGGAAACUGGAGAACUUGAGUACAGAAGAGGAAAGCGGAAUUCCACGUGUAGCGGUGAAAUGCGUAGAGAUGUGGAGGAACACCAGUGGCGAAGGCGGCUUUCUGGUCUGUAACUGACGCUGAGGCGCGAAAGCGUGGGGAGCAAACGAGGAUUAGAUACCCUGGUAGUCCACGCCGUAAACGAUGAGUGCUAAGUGUUAGGGGGUUUCCGCCCCCCUUAGUGCUGCAGCUAACGCAUUAAGCACUCCGCCUGGGAGUACGGCCGCAAGGCUG
rnacentral:rRNA from 1 species